GGCGACGAUCAGUAGCGGGUCUGAGAGGAUGAUCCGCCACACUGGGACUGAGACACGGCCCAGACUCCUACGGGAGGCAGCAGUGGGGAAUUUUGGACAAUGGGGGCAACCCUGAUCCAGCCAUUCCGCGUGAGUGAAGAAGGCCUUCGGGUUGUAAAGCUCUUUCAGCAGGAACGAAACGGUACGCGCUAACAUCGUGUGCUAAUGACGGUACCUGCAGAAGAAGCACCGGCUAACUACGUGCCAGCAGCCGCGGUAAUACGUAGGGUGCGAGCGUUAAUCGGAAUUACUGGGCGUAAAGCGUGCGCAGGCGGAUUGUUAAGCAAGACGUGAAAUCCCCGGGCUUAACCUGGGAAUGGCGUUUUGAACUGGCAGUCUAGAGUGUGUCAGAGGGGGGUGGAAUUCCACGUGUAGCAGUGAAAUGCGUAGAGAUGUGGAGGAACACCAAUGGCGAAGGCAGCCCCCUGGGAUAACACUGACGCUCAUGUACGAAAGCGUGGGUAGCAAACAGGAUUAGAUACCCUGGUAGUCCACGCCCUAAACGAUGUCAACUGGUUGUUGGGGGAGUGAAAUCCCUUAGUAACGAAGCUAACGCGUGAAGUUGACCGCCUGGGGAGUACGGUCGCAAGAUUAAAACUCAAAGGAAUUGACGGGGACCCGCACAAGCGGUGGAUGAUGUGGAUUAAUUCGAUGCAACGCGAAAAACCUUACCUACCCUUGACAUGUCCAGAAUCCUGCAGAGAUGCGGGAGUGCCCGAAAGGGAAUUGAACACAGUGCUGCAUGGCUGUCGUCAGCUCGUGUCGUG
rnacentral:rRNA from 1 species